AUGUUGACUCUUGAGAAUUCAUUUGUAUCACUGUGGUUCACUUUCGGCAGCGGCACCAAACUGGAUGUUGGCACCGUCUCUCCUCCUAAAGUGAGCGUCCUGCCGCCCUCCAGUGCAGAGAUCUCCUCUAAGCAGACGGCUACACUGCUGUGUGUGGCCAACAAGGGCUUCCCGUCAGACUGGAGGCUGGUCUGGAAGGUCCUCAAGCCUGACGGGAGCAGCAGCAGCGGGGGUCAGGAGAGCAGCAGUGCUGGGCUCCUGGAGAAGGACGGUCUGUACAGCUGGAGCAGCAGCCUGACUCUCUCUAAGCAGCAGUGGAUGGAGAGCGCCUCAGUGAGCUGUGAGGCCACACGGAGUGGCCAGCCUGCGCACACUGCAGGAGACACUGUGAAGAGACAGCAGUGUUCAGAGUAGAUCUGCAGCACACACACCACAUCUGUGUCUGCUUUGCUUUCUGCCUUUUACUCCAGACUUAACGUGUGGAGUUCAUUAUUCCGUCUUCGUUUUAUUGUAAUUCAGUCAGUAAAUAAAGUUGUAACAGUCUGUC